CUUGAUGACGGCUGUGCGUGGGAGAUCUUCGGGUCUGCCGGCUUUACUUCUGGUGUCGGUUCGCCAACCUGCGUACAGCCGUCACCCUU
rnacentral:antisense_RNA from 3 species